AUGAUCUCACAAGUGCCACUCAUCUGUCUCUUAGUGCUCUGGAUCCAGGAUGCCAGAGGGGACAUUGUGCUGACUCAGACUCCAAAAUCCCUGGUAGUGUCUCCAGGAGACAGAGUCACCAUCAACUGCAAAGCCAGUUCCAGCCUUACUGACUCAGGCGAUGACUAUUUAGUCUGGUACCAGCAGAAAAUGGGACAAGCACCUAAACUCCUCAUCUACCUUGCUUCCACCCGUGCCUCUGGGAUCCCAGCCCAGUUCAGCGGCAGUGGAUCUGGGACCGAUUUCACUCUCACCAUCAGCAGGGUUGAAGCAGAUGAUGCUGGAGAUUAUUACUGUCAGACAGGCUAUGAAACCCCUCUCCACAAUGAUACAGAGCAGCACAAAAACCUCCCUGUGCUGUUCAGUUCCGAGUCACAGCUGCCUCCUGCAGGCAACCGCUUAGUGCAGCUGCUACAUUUGUUUACAUCCUCAGACUUUUAG